rnacentral:rRNA from 1 species
GACGAACGCUGGCGGCGUGCCUAAUACAUGCAAGUUGAGCGAUGAAGAUUGGUGCUUGCACCAAUUUGAAGAGCAGCGAACGGGUGAGUAACGCGUGGGGAAUCUGCCUUUGAGCGGGGGACAACAUUUGGAAACGAAUGCUAAUACCGCAUAACAACUUUAAACAUAAGUUUUAAGUUUGAAAGAUGCAAUUGCAUCACUCAAAGAUGAUCCCGCGUUGUAUUAGCUAGUUGGUGAGGUAAAGGCUCACCAAGGCGAUGAUACAUAGCCGACCUGAGAGGGUGAUCGGCCACAUUGGGACUGAGACACGGCCCAAACUCCUACGGGAGGCAGCAGUAGGGAAUCUUCGGCAAUGGACGAAAGUCUGACCGAGCAACGCCGCGUGAGUGCAGAAGGUUUUCGGAUCGUAAAACUCUGUUGGUAGAGAAGAACGUUGGUGAGAGUGGAAAGCUCAUCAAGUGACGGUAACUACCCAGAAAGGGACGGCUAACUACGUG